rnacentral:rRNA from 1 species
GCAUGUUCACAUGAUUAAAGGUAUUCCGGUAGACGAUGGGGAUGCGUUCCAUUAGAUAGUAGGCGGGGUAACGGCCCACCUAGUCUUCGAUGGAUAGGGGUUCUGAGAGGAAGGUCCCCCACAUUGGAACUGAGACACGGUCCAAACUCCUACGGGAGGCAGCAGUGAGGAAUAUUGGUCAAUGGGCGAGAGCCUGAACCAGCCAAGUAGCGUGAAGGAUGACUGCCCUAUGGGUUGUAAACUUCUUUUAUAAAGGAAUAAAGUCGGGUAUGCAUACCUGUUUGCAUGUACUUUAUGAAUAAGGAUCGGCUAACUCCGUGCCAGCAGCCGCGGUAAUACGGAGGAUCCGAGCGUUAUCCGGAUUUAUUGGGUUUAAAGGGAGCGUAGAUGGAUGUUUAAGUCAGUUGUGAAAGUUUGCGGCUCAACCGUAAAAUUGCAGUUGAUACUGGAUAUCUUGAGUGCAGUUGAGGCAGGCGGAAUUCGUGGUGUAGCGGUGAAAUGCUUAGAUAUCACGAAGAACUCCGAUUGCGAAGGCAGCCUGCUAAGCUGCAACUGACAUUGAGGCCCGAAAGUGUGGGUAUCAAACAGGAUUAGAUACCCUGGUAGUCCACACGGUAAACGAUGAAUACUCGCUGUUUGCGAUAUACAGCAAGCGGCC